rnacentral:rRNA from 1 species
UACGUAGGGGGCAAGCGUUGUCCGGAAUUAUUGGGCGUAAAGAGCGUGUAGGCGGUCCGGUAAGUCAGCUGUGAAAGUCGAGGGCUCAACCCUUGAAUGCCGGUUGAUACUGUCGGGCUAGAGUCCGGAAGAGGCGAGUGGAAUUCCCGGUGUAGCGGUGAAAUGCGCAGAUAUCAGGAGGAACACCGAUGGCGAAGGCAGGUCUCUGGGCCACUACUGACGCUGAGAAGCGAAAGCAUGGGGAGCGAACAGG